rnacentral:rRNA from 1 species
GUCUGACCUAUCCCUGGAGGAAGCACGGGCUAAGUUCGUGCCAGCAGCCGCGGUAAGACGAACCGUGCAAACGUUGUUCGGAAUCACUGGGCUUAAAGGGCGCGUAGGCGGCUUGUCAAGUCAGGGGUGAAAUCUUUCGGCUUAACCGGAAAAGUGCCUUUGAUACUGGCAAGCUUGAGGAAGGUAGGGGCAUGUGGAACUUCCGGUGGAGCGGUGAAAUGCGUUGAUAUCGGAAGGAACGCCGGUGGCGAAAGCGACGUGCUGGACCUUUUCUGACGCUGAGGCGCGAAAGCUAGGGGAGCAAACGGGAUUAGAUACCCCGGUAGUCCUAGCCCUAAACGAU